GUGGGGAAUCUUAGACAAUGGGCGCAAGCCUGAUCUAGCCAUGCCGCGUGAGCGAUGAAGGCCUUAGGGUUGUAAAGCUCUUUCAGGGGGGAAGAUAAUGACGGUACCCCCAGAAGAAGCCCCGGCUAACUCCGUGCCAGCAGCCGCGGUAAUACGGAGGGGGCUAGCGUUGUUCGGAAUUACUGGGCGUAAAGCGCACGUAGGCGGACCAGAAAGUCAGGGGUGAAAUCUCGGGGCUCAACCCCGGAACUGCCUUUGAAACUCCUGGUCUUGAGGUCGAGAGAGGUGAGUGGAAUUCCGAGUGUAGAGGUGAAAUUCGUAGAUAUUCGGAGGAACACCAGUGGCGAAGGCGGCUCACUGGCUCGAUACUGACGCUGAGGUGCGAAAGCGUGGGGAGCAAACAGGAUUAGAAACCCCGGUAGUCC
rnacentral:rRNA from 1 species